rnacentral:rRNA from 1 species
UACGUAGGGGGCAAGCGUUGUCCGGAUUUAUUGGGCGUAAAGAGCGUGUAGGCGGCCAGAUAGGUCCGUUGUGAAAACUCGAGGCUCAAGCUCGAGACGCCGAUGGAAACCAUUUGGCUAGAGUCCGGAAGAGGAGAGUGGAAUUCCUGGUGUAGCGGUGAAAUGCGCAGAUAUCAGGAGGAACACCGAUGGCGAAGGCAGGUCUCUGGGCUGACACUGACGCUCAUGCACGAAAGCGUGGGGAGCAAACAGG